rnacentral:rRNA from 1 species
CCUACGGGGGGCUGCAGUGAGGAAUAUUGGUCAAUGAGGGCAACCUUGAACCAGCCAAGUCGCGUGAAGGAUGACUGUCCUAAGGAUUGUAAACUUCUUUUAUAUGGGAAUAAUUGUAGCCACGUGUGGUUAUUUGCAUGUACCAUAUGAAUAAGGAUCGGCUAACUCCGUGCCAGCAGCCGCGGUAAUACGGAGGAUCCAAGCGUUAUCCGGAUUUAUUGGGUUUAAAGGGUGCGCAGGCGGGAGAUUAAGUCGGUGGUGAAAUUUUGCGGCUCAACCGUAAGAGUGCCAUCGAAACUGGUUUUCUUGAGUGUAGAUGAAGUAGGCGGAAUUUGUGGUGUAGCGGUGAAAUGCAUAGAUAUCACGAGGAACUCCAAUUGCGCAGGCAGCUUACUAAACUACUACUGACGCUCAUGCACGAAGGCGUGGGGAUCAAACAGGAUUAGAUACCCCGGUAGUC